rnacentral:rRNA from 1 species
GAUGAACGCUGGCGGCGUGCCUAAUACAUGCAAGUCGAGCGAACAGAUGAGGAGCUUGCUCCUCUGACGUUAGCGGCGGACGGGUGAGUAACACGUGGAUAACCUACCUAUAAGACUGGGAUAACUUCGGGAAACCGGAGCUAAUACCGGAUAAUAUAUUGAACCGCAUGGUUCAAUAGUGAAAGACGGUUUUGCUGUCACUUAUAGAUGGAUCCGCGCCGCAUUAGCUAGUUGGUAAGGUAACGGCUUACCAAGGCAACGAUGCGUAGCCGACCUGAGAGCGUGAUCGGCCACACUGCAACUGAGACACGGUCCAGACUCCUACGGGAGGCAGCAGUAGGGAAUCUACCGCAAUGGGCGAAAGCCUGACGGAGCAAAGCCGCGUAAGUGAUGAAGGUCUUCGGAUCGUAAAACUCUGUUAUUAGGGAAGAACAAAUGUGUAAGUAACUAUGCACGUAUUGACGGUAACUAAUCAGAAAGCCACGGCUAACUACGUG